rnacentral:rRNA from 1 species
CCUACGGGUGGCAGCAGUGGGGAAUAUUGCACAAUGGGGGAAACCCUGAUGCAGCGACGCCGCGUGAAGGAAGAAGGAUUUCGGUAUGUAAACUUCUAUCAGCAGGGAAGAAAAUGACGGUACCUGACUAAGAAGCCCCGGCGAACGACGUGCCAGCAGCCGCGGUAAUACGUAGGGGGCAAGAGUUAUCCGGAUUUCCUGGGUGUAAAGGGAGCGUAGGCGGCGAUGCAAGUCAGAAGUGAAAGCCCGGGGCUCAACUCCGGGACUGCUUUUGAAACGGUGUUGCUAGAUUGCAGGAGAGGUAAGUGGAAUUCCUAGUGUAGCGGUGCACUGCGUAGAUCUUAGGAGGACCACCAGUG